AAUUCUCCAAGACCCUGUCCCUGGAUGUAAUAAAGGUGCAUAUUAAUCUCAACAAUUAUAUAUUUUUUAUGUUUACAUUCUGUCCCACCAAUGUCCAGAUAUGUAUUGAAAAGUAAGGAUUAUAAAAUUCAAUUAGGGGGAAAUAAGAGACUAUACAGAGACCUCCACAUAUGAUAAAUAAUAUAAAGAUGUAGUUUCGAUAUUGUGUGGUGGUCCAGUAUCGCACCCUUUGGAAAAAAAUUCAGGGAGGUAUUUGGGUCCAAUCUGUAACAUCAAUCCAGUGUGGUAUAUCAUUGCUGCUUUCACCACCUGUACCAUUAAUCCAGUGUGGUAUAUAAUUGCUGCUUUGCUCAUCUGUACCAUCAAUUAUCGAAGAACCAACGGCCACAUUUCAUUGUUGAUUAACAGUGACUAAUUUAACUUGAGAUGCAAAUAACCCAUUGGUGUAACUGUAGUUCUAAUACCAAAGAUAGUCUCCGGUCAUGAUCAAGCAACCAGAGUUGUUCUGCUUAAGGGAAAUAAAUAACAAAGUAAAAAUAAAUAAAUAACAAUGCAUGUGCCUGCUUUGGGGCCGCAUCAUAAAUAUUUCUCUCAUGUAGAACACUCCAAUGGAGUCUAGUUUUACAACAACAGAGUGACCCAGGCAGUGUGCUAUAUUUGUGUAGGAAAACAAAACUGAGUUUAGAUGUAGUAGAUGAUUGAUUACAAAACAACAAAAUAAUAAUAUACAUAAGCAAACCAGCAAAACGAAAAAUAAUGUCACAUACUGUAAAAUUUCGCAACUUGCAAAGUCUCAAAUUCGAGGCAAUAUUAUUAUUAUAUGACUUGUAGUAUAAACAUAAUAAAGUUCAAUUGGUAACAUCGAAAGAUAGAGAUCUGUACAAGAACACCGAAGAGCACCAAAUUAUAUGUAGCAUAAGAGUAAAUCCCUGUCAUAUAUAAGAGCGGACCUCAGCCUGUAAGGACUUCCUUAUAGACGAUGUUCUUCAUCGAGGUCUGUAAGGACAAGGCAGGUCUUUUUCGCUUCUUUGGUUUACUGCUUUGCUUCUUGCCAUUCUCCUUCUCUUUCUCCUUCUCAAUGAGGAUCUUUAUGUUUCUCUUCGCGGUGGCUCGAGACAAUGCGACAUAGAGUUGACCAUGAGAGAACACCGGAUUAGGUAGGUACACGCCAACGAUCGGAAUCGUCUGUCCUUGAGCCUUGUUAAUCGUCAUAGCAAAGCUAAGCCUUACAGGAAAUUGCUUCCUCUUGAACUUGAAUGGAAACAUGUCGUUGUCAGACGGGCAUAGGGGUAUUCGAGGAAGGAAAACCCUCCUACCCGCAUGCUGUCCAAUCACGAUUUCUGCGUCGAUGGCGUUCCUCUGGAAACCUCGCACCACAAGCCUCGUCCCGUUACACAGACCAUUAGCCGGAUCAAUGUUCCUCAGAAGUAUGACAGGGCAGUUGAGCUUCAGUUUGAGUGCAUGCGGAGGCAGACCGUUGGGAGUCAAUCCAUUAAGGAACUCGGGAGCGUAGUAGCCAUAUGGGUCGUCCUCUGCACUGUCAAAGCUAUGGUAGAUUACUUCUUCUCCCCGAAAACGCUCUACCAUGCGUAUGUUUAUCUUGUCGACGUUGUCGUUCGUGGUGGAGAGAAUUGCGCGUGAAGUCAUGUAAUUCGGAUCGGUCAUGUUGUCAUCUAGUCUCGGAAACACAUGGUCAAUCAGCUUCUCCAAGUCGUCACCCUCGCCUGUAGACGGCACACAAAUAUCUUCAGGGAGUCGUAUGUUUCCUUGUUCGUCAACUUCCUCGGUGCCAUUGCCUACCCUUAGCAAGUAAUCCGCAAACCAGGUGUCAUUAUGAGCCCUCAUGUUGGUGACAAGCCUUAGCUGGCGCAUACCCUUCCAGAGGUGUGAACUUCGAAGGGUUGCAUCGAUUAUCUGACCCCGGGACCCCCUCCUGACGACCGGAAGCACCUGCCUAAAGUCCCCGUCAAACACAACAGUUUUUCCUCCAAAGGGUCGGUCCCGUCUUCCCGUGAUGUCACGCAUGCUGUUGUCCAGUGCCUCGACCGCCUGUCGCUUAGUCAUGGUGGCCUCGUCCCAUAGUAUCAAUGAGGCCAUCCUCAGUAGCUUGGCAGUACCACUCUGUUUCGUGAAGGUGCAUGAGGCGCCAUCGUCGCAGCUCAAUGGGAUCUUGAACCUCGAGUGGGCAGUCCUGCCUCCAGGCAUGAUAGAAGCGGCGACGCCUGACGUCGCGGUAGCGAUAGCGAUGUUUCCCUCACUUCGAACCUUGGCGAGCAGCGCCCUGUACAGGAAGGUCUUCCCUGUACCUCCCGGUCCAUCAACAAAGAACACACCCCCAUCACCGCGUUCAACAGAAGCUAGUAUCUCGUCGUAUGCAGCCCUCUGCUCCAAGUUUAGCGACGAAGCCAAUUUAGUGUCGUUGAUGUCAAAAUCGACGUUGGAUUCCUCGAUCACUUCUCUGGCCUCGCCCUCGGUUGGGUCGAACGCAUCGUCAAUGCAUGGAAGAGCGAAAUCAGAUAUGUCUUUGCCCAUGGACUGCAACAUACCCCUAAUGUCAAGCAACACCAUCUGUUCCACCUCAAUCGGGCAUGUGUGUGAUCGCCGAUAGUCAUCAGACAUAGGCUCGAAGUGCCUAUCCCAUAAACCACGCACGUCGCCUGGCUCACGGUGCACCAAAAUUGUUGCAAAGAGCCUCCUGAGCGAACAAGGCAUCGCCCACUGCUCUGCCUCGGUAAGACAAUUGUCGAGCGUGUUAUCUGCCUCGAUGAGUCCCAACCUUUCGGCAGCCUCUCUAAAGCUCCCGCAUAGCCUACCGUCCACGGUGAGCAGGUCCUCAUAGGAUGUCUUGCCAGCAACAUGGUUUAGUAGGACACGCAGAUAGUAUCGCUCCCCCUCGGCAGGAUUGGCAGACACAAUUCAACCUAUCUGAUAAUGCUUCACCCGCUCUUUCCAAUACUUCUUACCCUUCUGCCAUGUGAACCUUCCAGGAAAAUCCUUGUACAAUAUAUUCCUAGCCCACGGGUGGUUUUGGUUAGCUUUGAAAUACUCUGUCAACAUGGAUUUGGAAGCUUUCUCAGAGGCGACUACGUCGGUCAAGUGAGCUUGUUCAUUGAAUGCCACCCUGUGCAUAUUCGGGAGAUGAAGAGGCAACUGUAGGACAGGAGGGUCAUUGGCACACAAGGGGAAGCCAAAUAUCCUCCACAUCGCCUCUGGAGGAGUAACCCACCUCGCGUCUAUGUAUCUUUUGAUCUCAUCAAUGUUACCAUCAGCGUCGGGCUGGUCGAUGCUGAAAGAAGCCCUAUCAUGGCCCUUGUAUAUGUACUUGUAAAGGUAUUUGACGGCCUUUAUGCUGGAGCAAACCUCAACAUUGAUGUGGCAAUUGAACAUCCGCAGAAGGUAAGGGUUAUACGGCACAACCCAUCUGUUGUCCAACAUUUUACCCCGGACCUUAGCUUGCCGACCAUUAUCUCGACGACGAUAAACAGGGUAUGAGUCCUUGCCUUGUGCCGUGUUUUCAUUGAACGGCCGCGGGUAUCUGCACUUGCACUCGUUCUGUUGCAUGCACACAUUUUUGGGGUUGAGAGCACCGCAUGGUCCAUGCAUCAUAUGUUUCACCACCAAGGUGUGGAGUUCAGGAUACUUUUGCUUGUCAGGGAGCUCGGCAGAAAUGAGUCGGUCGUACUGCUCCGGAACGACAAGCUUAUAGGCAGAAUCCAUGAUCAACAAAAAGUGUGCGUGGGGGAGGCCCCUCUUUUGGAACUCGACUACGUAUACAUGUGCAACAACAACACCCAGGAUAUGCUCCUUGAACAACAUCUCUUUCAUAGCCUCUAGCUUCCCAUGGAACACACGAGCCACAAGAUCAGGUCGGUCUUGCGUUGUCUGACCAGGAAACAACUCAUUUGUUAUCUCUUCCCAGUUAGGGUUGCAUGUCAUGGUCAAGAAGAUGUCAGGCUUCCCGUAGGUAUGGACAAUUGCCAUGGCAUCCAUAUGCCUCCGCUUCAUGUCGCGGUCGCCACCUGGGUACGUUCCAGGUAGCACUAUCCUUACUCCAACAGCGCUUGCAUGGGUCUCCCCGGAUGUAAUUGCAUCAACAACUCCUUUAUACAGGUCGGCACGGAUCUUUGUAUGGUUCUUCAUGUACCAUUUCAACCUACAACUCUCAAUUUUGAUGUACAUGUCCACCCCCCAUUGCUGGAGCAAUCGUGCUCCACAGAGUAUGGGAUCGAAUAUCCCAGGUCGUGUCUGGAGCAUGUAACAGUAGUAGUCUCUCACUGAGACGCAUAACCUGCUAUUCCCCUCUGCACAUGGAUGAGUAACGCAGACAUUAGGAUUCAUAUGAGAAGUAUACAAUUCAUGUAAACAACAGAAUACGCAUAAGGCUUACCUGCAUCAUCAUCAUCAUCAUCAUCAUCACCUCUACCUCUUGGUUGUUGCACAACCGGCCAAGGUACAUCACGUUUAGGAAGUUUCGGGUGCCAACCGAGCUCCCCCCUUGGGUAGAAGAGUGGGUAAGAGAGAGGGUCAUAUGAGCUAGCCGUCACAUGUAUAUUGUGCCUCUGGUUGUCAUUCCCACAAAGUGUAAUCCUACGAUCGAACCUCUUUGCUAGGUCAGUGCCCUCCACCCAAAUUGCAGCGACCUCAGAUGACAGAGGUCUAUUAUACUUCCGUUGGUCUAGUCUCUGGUCAGUGUUGAGGUCUAUCCUGUAAUCGUCGAGGUUGUCCCUGUGCGCACCCAAACUCCUAAACUGCUGGGAGUACGGGUUCUCUCUGAGUAUGUGCACUAACUUUCUCACGACAUCUUGGUCUAAUUGCUCGGUGGCAGCCUUGCGAUGGGUUAGGCCUGGGUCGUCGUCAUAGAAGUACAACUGUAGAUGAUCUGAACGUGAUGUUGGACCGAAGGAAUGAACGUUGUGGUAGAUGGUGCCGUGCGCCCGGAACGUGUACACCCCACACUUCAUGUUUGUGUAGCUUUCAUCAAGGCUGACACCAAGGGUUGUGAACGAGAAGUGGCCGUUGAAGAACCGUAUGUUCUCCCGAAAAUGCCUUGAGUCCGCAUCCAUGCUAGACCAAAGCCUCAUUAGCUCCGGGAUGGGCUCCGGUUGCUUCAGCUCGAUCUGCCCACUGCGACAGCAGAAUCCCGGGGCCUCAGACACAAACUUCUUGGCCUUGCAGUGAUCACAAUUUGCGGCGUGCUUCAGGAUGUGUGUGUGGUCAGGGAGGUUUGAGUAGAUAUAGUCCAAUGGAUCAUGGUCGACAUAGGUAUUGUGACUUGAGUCUUCCAAUUCGUCGUGCUCCAUGUCAUCAGUAUCUGAGCCUGCAAACAAGGUUUAUAAUUAGUGUGAUAUUUCAAACCGGUGGAUGUUGCUCAAGUGGGUGUACAUACCUUCACCAGCAAACAGGUAAUACUCAUCGUCAAAGAGGCUAUCAGGGUUGACAUUAUCAUUCAUGAGACGAGUAAGGUAAGCGUCCAUGUCGUCUGCUCAGGCGCGAAACCAAUAAAUGAGGGUUCAGUCUCAAGGGACGCAAGGAGAGUAAGGAUGGGAGUGUUACCUUCACUUCUGAUCGUGUACUCCGGCGUGCUAGAUGAGGUCGAGGCACCGUGUGGUUCCACUAUGGUAGGUUGUCCAGUUGAGCUCAUUUUCGGUAUGGAGAUGGACCUGACGGUUGGGGUCAUCACCCUACCUGCAAACCUUUCAUUACGCCGAUCGCGUAGAACAUUCAUCUCACCAUGCGGUACAUGCGUACUUUUUUUUCCUUGCCAAUUUUCUGUUGACGCUUCUUUGCCACCAUACCACCCUUGCAAGCUCGCUCUCCCCUCCCAGGCGUUGCUCUGGGCUCAUGACUCUGCUCAUCCACUCCGUUAUCCGCUAUUGCUACCGGAUCACUGGUUUGCUGGUCGGCAUUUUGUAGGCACACAUUGAUUUCGCUGUGGUCUCCAUGUACAGCACCAUCACCGAAGGUUCUGCUUAGGUAUGCACCUACAACACUAUACAUCAUUAUUUAUAUCUCAUGAAUGAUUACAUGAUGGAAGAUGAUGGUUGAUAGGAUAUGUACCAUCGGUUUCGGUGUUGCGAAUGUAUGUGGGGGCCGCAUUGACCGUAGGAGCAUGAUAUAUUAGUUCACUGUCGAAUUGUUGCGUGAGGGCUGAAAGUGUGAGAGUCGGACAAUGUGUGUGAGGGUUGGACAAUGUGCUAGUUAGAUCUGGACGUGGCAUUGCGAUCGAUUCAGCACACGGAGUGUUUUUCUUUGCAGCAUACUUUGCCUUUCUCUUUGCACUUGACUCCCCCCUUUCAUCCUCAGUCAUGGUUUUAGGGUGUUGCACGCGCCAUUCUUGCAACUUCUGAUUUUUUUCUCGAAGAUCGAUCACUCCGUCACCCACUUUUUUCCGAUAACUUGCUCGCCUCCGCGCGUUUCUCUGCUCAAUUUGCUCGUCUGUUAAGUCACCCUUGUGUUCUUUAUGAGGCUGUUUUUCAUCUAGAUUCUUGCUGGCUGCCUCCUCUUUUUUCUUUCGAUAAGCAGCUCUCCUCCGAGCCUUCAUUUGCUCUUUUUUCUCGUCAAGGUCCACCGAGAUUGGUUGACACCCAUUAGUGAUAUCACCGAGAGGUAGCAGGGUCACAUUUUGCAUAUCUGCACGAAGGGUUUAGGGUCUUCAUUGUUCAAGAAGAUUUCAUGUACUACACAAACACUUAAUUUAUAUAUCUGCACGGUCAGGUUAAACAAUGAUGUAUAGCUGGAUGUAGUUGGGUUGGUAUCAUCAAGAGGUAACAGGGGAACAUUUUGCAUAUCUGCCCGGAGGGUUUAGGGUCUUCAUUGUUCACCGAGAGGUAACAGGGCUGGUUGAAGCUACUUAUUUAUCUAGGGUUUAUUUUUUAUAGAAUCCCUCCGUGUCCAUACAUAAAGUCUGUAUGUAUUCUAAAGUCCUAUGUCUGCCAUAUAUCGAAUUGAACCUAAAUGAUCAGGAAUUGUAUGAUAACACAAUGGUCAACUAUUGGUCAAUUAUUUUUAUUCACUUUCUUGGUCAAUUAUUCGUGGGGUUGGGGUCUCGGAAACAUAUGUCACCUACAUUAUUCACUAAGAAAGUAUACAUACGGUAAUCAUAUUGCUCAAACAUAAACAUCCAUACCUGAUAUCGUAAUGGCUGUCAGAUUUUCAACUUUUUGCUUGCUGUCUGCCUCCUCUUUUUUCUUUCGAUAAGCAGCUCUUCUCUGAGACUUUAGUUGCUCUUUUUUAUCGUCAUCGUCCACCGUGGUUGGUUGACACACAUUAGUGAUAUCACCGAGAGGUAACCCACCCACAUACCGCAUAUCUGCAUGUGAAAUGAUCUUAACAUUAUACUCUGGAAUGGAGUUAGUAUAUAUAAUAUCAUCGCAGUGCCUUCCCAUAAAGCAUUCUUACCUGAUAUCGUAAGGGCAGACAGAUUUUCAUCUUGUUGCUUGACGGUAGCCUCCUCUUUUUUCUUUCUAUAAGCAGCUCGCCUCCGAGCUUUUUUCAACUCUCUUUUUUCGUCAAGGUCCACAGAGGAUGGUUGAUCUGCAUUAUUGAUAUCACUUUGAGGAUGGCGUGGAACAUUAUGCGGCCUCUCUUGCCAACUGUCAUGUUGCAUGCUAGCAUAACAAUAUAUUGGACCGAAACAAGGCAAAGUUGUAGGCACAUGGUCUUAACCUUUCGGCAACAUAAUACUUACCCGAAAUCAGAUGGGAAGGUUGAUGAUCAUAUGUACUUUCACAAUCGGCCUGUUCAAGUAUCAUCCUGUCCGAGUGAAUAAUAUGGACUCCUACAAGUCACACGCUUGAUCUUUUAGAAGGGGUUCUGCCCAAGUCUGUUAUGUAUGAUUUAUGACAUAAAAAGCAUAAAAGCAAUCUCAGUAUAUAUGCACAGCCUUAAUACCUGGACUACCUGGGUAAUUCUUGUGAACAUCGUCGGCUCCAGGUAUAACCCCUUCAUUAGAAUCGUCACCAAGAUGUCCCUCCAUCAGGCCUGCAACAUCUCCUGUGAUGGUGUUUGACAUGUAUAACAAAAUAUGUAGCUGAACACAUACAAGGAGGUAGUUAUAUACCUGGAGUAUCAUAUGUGCUAUCACCAUCGGUCUCAAGUAUCAUCCGUUCGGAGGGAGUAAUAUGAACUCCUAGAAAUAAAGAUGUUGAUACAUUAGAAUCGGUUGUGCCCAAGUCUUUUAGGUAUGAUUUUCCAACUAAGAAGGAUAAAAGUAAACCUUAUACCUGGACUACGUUGGUAAAUUUUGUCAACAUCAUCGGCUACGGGUAUAAUCCCUUCGUUAGAGUCGUCAACACUUGUCCCCUCCAUCGGGCCUGUAACACAUAUGUAGUUGAACAUAUAUACGUUUGACUUGUGUAGCACAAUUUAUAGGUGAACAUAUACCUGGAGGUACAUGUGAUGAAGUCGUCUGUUCCGCUGGCUUGUUGUGUGGAGUCCCCAUAUGUAACUAUUAAAAAAAGACACGUCCAACAGACUCAGGUAUCACGCAAAAAAUUAUAAACUGACUCUGCAAGCAGAUCACGUGAAAUACCAACAGUACUAAAGGCCCUUUCCCACUACAGAAAUUCAGUCCAUAAGGGCAGGUUGUUACAGAUUUAUUAGUCUUGCUAUAUAUAUGAAAAUAGAAAGACAUGUCGAACAGACCUUGCUACUUUGCAUUUUCCUGUAUUUUUUUAGGCCACGAAAUGUAGUUUUUCUGCAAAGCUAUAGUAAUUUUGAACCAUGUCUGUUUGCUGCUGGAUACUAAACUACUGUUGUUUGUUUACAGUGCAUCUUCUGUGUUAUUUACAGUGCAACAAGAACUGUAAUUCUAAUGCAAAACUACAGUAAUUUUGAACCAUAGUUUUCAAGUUGUUUGCUGCUCCAUACUAAACUACUGUUGUGUUUUUAUAGUGCAUCUUCUUUAUUAUUUACAGAGCAAUAAGAACUGUAAUUAUCCUGCAAGGCUAUAGUAAUUUUGAUCUUUGCCUUUUAAGUUGUUUGCUGCUCCCAGUUUUACAGUGAGCUUACUGGGUUUUUAAUGUGUAUGUGUCACAGUAAAUAGCUUUGAUGCAUGUAUCUAUCUCAGGUAACACUAAUUUUCUAGUCUCUACUCAUGUUGUUUUUCCCUUUUUACAGUUAGCUAAAGGCUUUGUACUAUGCGGGUGUCACUGGGAAUAGCUUGAUGCAUGUUUGUAUGUUUUUCGGUCAAAAGGAUUUCACAAUCCAACAGAGAAAUACCCAUGGCUCUUCUUUUUGCUUGUUCUGUCAGAUUUCUUACUGUUGAACCUUAGCAAUGCUAGAGAGGAUUUUUUGACAGAACUACUACUCAUGUGAUCUUUCAGCCCUUGUUCCUCUAGAGAACUUUUGAGUAGUGGUGGGAUCUGACAAUCAGAGCUCUCCUGUGACCACAGAGUGAUGCUAGAGACACUUGUAUGGAUGAUUUGCAGUGC
rnacentral:lncRNA from 1 species